UACGGCUCAGUAACACGUAGCUAACCUAACCUAAAGGGGAAAAUAAUGUCGGGAAACUGACUCUAAUGUUCCAUAGAAGAUUUUUUCUGGAAUGAAUUAUCUUUGAAGUUUUCUUUAGGAUGGGGCUGCGGUGGAUUAGGUUGUUGGCGGGGUAAUAGCCCACCAAGCCGAAGAUCUGUAAGGGCUCUUAGCGGAGAGGCCCUGAGAGGGAAUCUGAGACACUAUUCCCAGCCCUACGGGGUGCAGCAGUCUAGAAACUUCUACAAUGCACGCAAGUGUGAUAGAGCAAGCCAAAGUGCUUUUCCAUAUUUGGAGAAGCUUUUGUGAGAUGUAAAAAGCCUCACGAAUAAGGACUGGGCAAGACUGGUGCCAGCCGCCGCGGUAAUACCAGCGGUCCGAGUCGCAAUCAUGUUUAUUGGGUCUAAAACAUCCGUAGCUUGCUAUGUAAGUGCCUUGUGAAAUCCUGCCUCUUAAGGGUAGAAGUGCAAGGCAUACUGCAUAGCUAGGGACCGGGAGACGUGAAGAGUACGGUUAGGGUAGCGGUAAAAUGUGUUGAUCCUAUCUGGACUAACGAUAGCGAAGGCACUUCACGAGAACGGAUCUGACAGUAAGGGAUGAAGGCUAGGGGCGCAAAACGGAUUAGAUACCCGUGUAGUCCUAGCAGUAAACACUGCACACUAAACAUUGGGACCUCUUCGAGAGGCCUCAGUGCUGAAGGGAAGCCGUAGAGUGUGCUACCUGGGAAGUAUAGUCGCAAGGCCGAAACUUAAAGGAAUUGGCGGA
rnacentral:rRNA from 1 species